rnacentral:rRNA from 1 species
GAAUAUUAGUCAAUGCUCGCAAGAGUGAACUAGCUAACUGAAAUCACAGAAUCCACUACGUGUGGUGACUGUUAUAACGUAAGGGAAAAAAAUGAUGUUACCUUACUAUUAGUGUUGUCCAAAACUGGUGCCAGAAGACUCGGUAAGGCCAGAGACGCAAACGUUAGUCGUCCUAAUCAGGCGUAAAGGGUAUGUAGGCUGCUUUAAAAGUUUUAUCUUUAAUAGCUCUAUAUAAAAACUAAUAUUUUUUAAUAAAGAUAUAAAUUUCUAUAUAGUAAAAUAUAAAAUGAAUUAAAGCUAGGAUCAAAUUGAGGAUAAGUCAAAUAAUGCUUAGUGUAGGGUUUAAAUCUGGUGAUACUAAGAGGAGUACUAACGGUGAAAGCUUUUUAUCUAGAAAUGAUCGACGCUGAGAAACGAAGGUGAGAAUAGGAAAU